UCACACCCCUCUAGAUUUAAAGGACUAUUGCAAAGACCAUUUCACUACUGUUAGUGUUUGCAGUUCAGUCAUUGCUUCGAGGAAAAACCUGUUGAUACGUCAGGUUAUGCUAAAUAAGCAAGAGUUCUGUAUUGGCCUGAAGCUGUUUGCAAUCCACCAUUUGCAUGCCACUUUCAAGCAGGGACAUUAUUGCUACCUUUUAAAUCCAAAAAAGGGAACUGAUAUAUUUGCAAACACACAGAUACUCAGGAUGUGGCUGCUGUUUCCUAUCACAAACACGUGAUCUGAGUUGGUUGUUGUUUUUCCACACUGCAAAAGAAAGAAAUCCAGCAAGCUUAGGUGAAAUUGUUGGGUCACUGAAAGGUACAAUGAUCUUCCUGACAAGCUGGAUUCCUGUCCUAACUACGUUUCUGCUUCUCUUAUAUUUCUGGAGAGCAAAGGUCUCUGCCUCUGGAACAUCUGAGGAGGAGGCAAUAGACCCCAAGUAUGUUAUCAUAGGAGUUACCCUGGGAGUCUUCCUAGCAAUUGGUUUUUUAGCACUAAAGAUCUGCAUGAUCAAAAGGCAAUUGACUGACAAUGACUUUGUAGAUUCAGACAACAGAGUGGAUAAAAGGUCACACGUGGAAUCCGCUGCGAUAAGGUAUGUUCUACAGAAGGGGCCAGGUGGGAAGAGAUCAAGGUCUUCCUCCAAUCUGAUGCAGCAGGAAUGGGGUGGGGGGUAACACAGAGUCUUUGGUGGCAGCCUGGAGUCAGAUAUAAAGAAGCUGGGGAGUAUUUCUAAAACUGCAUCCAGGUAUGUAACAAAGAAGAAUAAACGUGGCCACAUACAAAACA
rnacentral:lncRNA from 1 species